rnacentral:rRNA from 1 species
AGAGUUUGAUCCUGGCUCAGAAUGAACGCUGGCGGCGUGUUUAAGACAUGCAAGUCGAACGGAGUAACAUGAGUAGCAAUACAAGUGUUGCUCAGUGGCGCACGGGUGCGUAACACGUGAGUUACAUGCCCUGCAGAGAGGGAUAGCCCAGGGAAACUUGGAUUAAUACCUCAUGGUCUCGCAAGAGUAAAGAUGGCCGUAAGGCUGUCACUGCAGGAUUGGCUCGCGGCCUAUCAGCUAGUUGGUGAGGUAACGGCUCACCAAGGCUACGACGGGUACCUGGUCUGAGAGGACGAUCAGGCACACUGGAACUGAGACACGGUCCAGACACCUACGGGUGGCAGCAGUCGAGAAUCAUUCACAAUGGGGGCAACCCUGAUGGUGCAACGCCGCGUGGAGGAAGAAGGUCUUCGGAUUGUAAACUCCUGUCAUCUAGGAGCAAGGCAUGGUGGUAAAUAGCCAACAUGAUUGAUAGUACUAGAAGAGGAAGGGACGGCUAACUUCGUGCCAGCAGCCGCGGUAAUACGAAGGUCCCGAGCGUUAUUCGGAAUCACUGGGCGUAAAGGGAGCGUAGGCGGCGUGGAAAGUCAGAUGUGAAAUCCCAGAGCUCAACUCUGGAACUGCAUCCGAUACUACCAUGCUAGAGUAUUGGAGGGGUAACUGGAAUUCUCGGUGUAGCAGUGAAAUGCGUAGAUAUCGAGAGGAACACUCGUGGCGAAAGCGAGUUACUGGACAAUUACUGACGCUGAGGCUCGAAGGCUAGGGGAGCAAAAGGGAUUAGAUACCCCUGUAGUCCUAGC